AGAGUUUGAUCAUGGCUCAGGACGAACGCUGGCGGCGUGCCUAAUACAUGCAAGUCGAGCGGGACUCUUCGGAGUCCAGCGGCGGACGGGUGAGUAACACGUGGGCAACCUGCCUGUAAGACUGGGAUAACACCGGGAAACCGGUGCUAAUACCGGAUAAUCCUUUUCCUCACAUGAGGGAAAGCUGAAAGACGGUUUCGGCUGUCACUUACAGAUGGGCCCGCGGCGCAUUAGCUAGUUGGUGAGGUAACGGCUCACCAAGGCGACGAUGCGUAGCCGACCUGAGAGGGUGAUCGGCCACACUGGGACUGAGACACGGCCCAGACUCCUACGGGAGGCAGCAGUAGGGAAUCUUCCGCAAUGGACGAAAGUCUGACGGAGCAACGCCGCGUGAGCGAUGAAGGCCUUCGGGUCGUAAAGCUCUGUUGUCAGGGAAGAACAAGUAUCGGAGUAACUGCCGGUACCUUGACGGUACCUGACCAGAAAGCCACGGCUAACUACGUGCCAGCAGCCGCGGUAAUACGUAGGUGGCAAGCGUUGUCCGGAAUUAUUGGGCGUAAAGCGCGCGCAGGCGGUCCUUUAAGUCUGAUGUGAAAGCCCACGGCUCAACCGUGGAGGGUCAUUGGAAACUGGGGGACUUGAGUGCAGAAGAGGAAAGUGGAUUUCCACGUGUAGCGGUGAAAUGCGUAGAGAUGUGGAGGAACACCAGUGGCGAAGGCGACUUUCUGGUCUGUAACUGACGCCGAGGCGCGAAAGCGUGGGGAGCAAACAGGAUUAGAUACCCUGGUAGUCCACGCCGUAAACGAUGAGUGCUAAGUGUUAGAGGGUUUCCGCCCUUUAGUGCUUGCAGCUAACGCAUUAAGCACUCCGCCUGGGGAGUACGGCGCAAGGCUGAAACUCAAAGGAAUUGACGG
rnacentral:rRNA from 1 species